rnacentral:rRNA from 1 species
AUUGAACGCUGGCGGCAUGCCUUACACAUGCAAGUCGAACGGCAGCACGGGGGCAACCCUGGUGGCGAGUGGCGAACGGGUGAGUAACAUAUCGGAACAUACCCUAGAGUGGGGGAUAACGUAGCGAAAGUUACGCUAAUACCGCAUACGAUCUAAGGAUGAAAGUGGGGGAUCUUCGGACCUCAUGCUCAUGGAGUGGCCGAUAUCUGAUUAGCUAGUUGGUGAGGUAAAGGCUCACCAAGGCGACGAUCAGUAGCUGGUUUGAGAGAACGACCAGCCACACUGGAACUGAGACACGGUCCAGACUCCUACGGAGGCAGCAGUGGGAAUUUUGGACAAUGGGGCAACCCUGAUCCAGCAAUGCCGCGUGAGUGAAGAAGGCC